UACGUAGGGUGCAAGCGUUAAUCGGAAUUACUGGGCGUAAAGCGUGCGCAGGCGGUUGUGUAAGUCUGUCGUGAAAUCCCCGGGCUCAACCUGGGAAUUGCGAUGGAGACUGCACGGCUAGAGUGUGUCAGAGGGGGGUAGAAUUCCACGUGUAGCAGUGAAAUGCGUAGAUAUGUGGAGGAACACCGAUGGCGAAGGCGGCCCCCUGGGAUAACACUGACGCUCAUGCACGAAAGCGUGGGGAGCAAACAGG
rnacentral:rRNA from 1 species